CCUACGGGGCGCAGCAGUGAGGAAUAUUGGUCAAUGGCCGGAAGGCUGAACCAGCCAAGUCGCGUGAGGGAAUAAGGCCCUAUGGGUCGUAAACCUCUUUUGUCAGGGAGCAAAGGCGUCCACGUGUGGACGAGAGGAGAGUACCUGAAGAAAAAGCAUCGGCUAACUCCGUGCCAGCAGCCGCGGUAAUACGGAGGAUGCGAGCGUUAUCCGGAAUGAUUGGGCGUAAAGGGUGCGUAGGCGGCCUGCUAAGUAGCUAGUGAAAUCUGGUGGCUCAACCAUUCAGACUAUUAGCUAAACUGUUA
rnacentral:rRNA from 1 species